AUUACAACACAACCCUAAACCCUACCUCUCACCCAAACGACGGCAGUAACAAGGUUCCCCUCUCCUGUUCCGAUUACACCUUGGUCCUCCUGUUUCGGUUGCAUCGUGAUUGUGAAGAUUAUCGGAUUUGGGAGACCAACUGUAAACAAAGUAACUAAUCUUACCGGGCAAAACUAAGGUCGUUAGGUGAUUAAAGCAGGAGCUUGCUGGCUGGAGAGCAAGAGUGGUCAUGGUCAUACCGACGGGAUUAUUUGCCAAAUACUUAUUUAUUAUAAUUGAACUCGUAUUUACCUUAUGAUACUUUAAU